GGUUCCGUAGCGCAAUGGUAGCGCGUUGGUUUUCGGUCUUUUCGAAAGCACACCAAAGGUUGAGGGUUCGAAUCCCUUCGGGAUCG